rnacentral:rRNA from 1 species
GCCCAGACUCCUACGGGAGGCAGCAGUGAGGAAUUUUGCGCAAUGGGGGAAACCCUGACGCAGCGACGCCGCGUGGAGGAUGAAGGCCUUCGGGUCGUAAACUCCUGUCAGAGGUGAAGAAUACCCGCAAGGGUUUGACGGUAACCUCAGAGGAAGCCCCGGCUAACUACGUGCCAGCAGCCGCGGUAAUACGUAGGGGGCAAACGUUACUCGGAAUUACUGGGCGUAAAGGGUGCGUAGGCGGCUGGGAAAGUCAAGGAUGAAAUCCCGUGGCUCAACUGCGGAACGGUCCUUGAAACUACUCGGCUUGAGGAUAACCGAAGAGAACGGAAUUCCCGGUGGAGCGGUGAAAUGCGUAGAUAUCGGGAGGAACACCUGAGGCGAAAGCGGUUCUCUAGACUACUCCUGACGCUGAGGCACGAAAGCUAGGGGAGCAAACGGGAUUAGAUACCCCGGUAGUCCUAGCCAUCAACGAUGGAUACUGGAUAUUCCUGCACUCAUGUGGGAGUGUCGAAGCCAACGCGUUAAGUAUCCCGCCUGGGGAGUACGGUCGCAAGAUUGAAACUCAAAGGAAUUGACGGGGGCCCGCACAAGCGGUGGAGCAUGUGGUUUAAUUCGACGCAACGCGAAGAACCUUACCUGGGCUUGAACUGUCGGUAUAGGGACCCGAAAGGGCGACGAUCCCGGGCAACCGGGAAGCCGAUAGAGGUGCUGCAUGGCUGUCGUCAGCUCGUGUCGUGAGAUGUUGGGUUAAGUCCCGCAACGAGCGCAACCCUUGUCUUUAGUUGCCAGCGAGUCAUGUCGGGCACUCUAAGGAGACUGCCUCGGAUAACGAGGAGGAAGGUGGGGAUGACGUCAAGUCAGCAUGGCCUUUAUGUCCAGGGCUACACACGUGCUACAAUGGGCGGCACAGAAGGACGCGAGACCGCGAGGUCAAGCCAACCCUUAAAACCGUUCUCAGUUCGGAUUGCAGGCUGCAAUUCGCCUGCAUGAAGUCGGAAUCGCUAGUAAUCGCGGAUCAGCUACGCCGCGGUGAAUACGUUCUCGGGCCUUGUACACACCGCCCGUCACAUCACGAAAGCUGGUUGUACCCGAAGUCGCUGAGCCAACCGCAAGGAGGCAGGUGCCGAAGGUAUGGUCGGUGAUUGGGGUGAAGUCGUAACAAGGUAACCAAU